rnacentral:rRNA from 1 species
UACGUAGGGUGCAAGCGUUGUCCGGAAUUAUUGGGCGUAAAGAGCUCGUAGGCGGUUUGUCGCGUCUGCUGUGAAAACUCGGGGCUUAACCCCGGGCCUGCAGUGGGUACGGGCAGACUAGAGUGCAGAAGGGGCAACUGGAAUUCUCGGUGUAGCGGUGAAAUGCGUAGAUAUCGAGAGGAACACCUGCGGCGAAGGCGGGUUGCUGGGCUGACACUGACGCUGAGGCGCGAAAGCUAGGGGAGCGAACGGG